GGCCGAGUGGCGAAACGGUAUACGCGCUGCGCUUAGAACGCAGUCCCUUCGGGGUUGUGGGUUCGACUCCCACCUCGGCUA
rnacentral:tRNA from 1 species